rnacentral:rRNA from 1 species
UACGGAGGGUGCAAGCGUUAUCCGGAAUCAUUGGGCGUAAAGGGUGCGUAGGCGGAAUGGUAAGUCAGAGGUGAAAUCCCUCGGCUCAACCUGGGAACUGCAAUUGAUACUGUCAGUCUUGAGUAUAGUUGAGGUAGGUGGAAUGUAUCAUGUAGCGGUGAAAUGCUUAGAUAUGAUACAGAACACCGGUGGCGAAGGCAGCUUACCAAGCUAUAACUGACGCUAAUGCACGAAAGCGUGGGUAUCAAACAUG